GGUCUGCAACAGGAGUGCAAGCAAAGCAGAUGUAAACUGCACAUUUCUGCACGUGUAUAUUGUGCUUGCUCAACAGAUGUUUUGAUAAA